AUGGGCGGGACCCAGUGGUGGCAGAAGUCAUGGACGAUCCAGUCGGGCCUCCGGCCAGCGGCGACGGCGUCCGCGAGGAACGCGGCGAGAGGGGCCGCGAGCCCGUCCAUGGCCAUCUUAAGGAGUCCGUCCUCCCCGGGCGGCACGUCGGCGGUGGACUCGGCGCCCUCCGGCAGCCCGUCGACGCGCGGCAGCGGCAGCGGCACGAAGCGGAGGCGACCUGACAGGUGCGGCGGCACGGGCGGGAGCCUGGCGAGGUUCCGCGGCGUGAAGACGAAGGCGACGGCAUGGCCGCGGGCGGCGAGGCGCCUGGAGAGGUCGAGGAACGGAAGCAUGUGCCCGAAUGCCAGCCACGGGAACAUCACCACCUCCAGCUGCCCGCCGGCUUCCUCCAUAUGGACGUGA
rnacentral:rRNA from 1 species